rnacentral:rRNA from 1 species
UACGUAGGGUGCGAGCGUUGUCCGGAAUUAUUGGGCGUAAAGAGCUUGUAGGCGGUUUGUCGCGUCUGCUGUGAAAUUUCGGGGCUCAACCCCGAACUUGCAGUGGGUACGGGCAGACUAGAGUGUGGUAGGGGAGACUGGAAUUCCUGGUGUAGCGGUGAAAUGCGCAGAUAUCAGGAGGAACACCGAUGGCGAAGGCAGGUCUCUGGGCCACUACUGACGCUGAGGAGCGAAAGCGUGGGGAGCAAACAGG